CAUGUCGCGCUAGAACAUCGUGUCGCAUCCUGCUGCACGGGUACUUUUGUGUUUGCAGUAGCUACGGUUUUAUCAUUUGUGUGUUAGUAGGGAACGCAAACGGGACGUUAGGAAGCACUUUCUUUUACAACUGGUGCCGCGAACGCGAUCGGCAUGUGUCUGAUCGCCGUGAAUCCGCUGCGAGUAGCUGCUAGUCGCGCGUGGAGCUUCGAAUUCGCUAUGAAAAUUCGCGAUGCGCGUAUCCGCUGUGACUCGAUCGUCCGGAUUCGAUGCGACUUGCCGCGAAAUCGUGACAAAACUUCGCCGUGAAUUCUCCGCAAGACUCUGUGUAGUAGACGUGAUCAUGAAGUCGUUGAGAAUGCAGCUGGCUGGCUAGUGUAGAUGUCGGAGCAUCGGUUCGAACAAACGGCUCUACUAGGUGUCGUUACUGCCAUUGACAGGCGCAGAAUACAAACCACGACGUGUAGGGACGUGAGUUUGCGUGAAGAACGCACUACAAGUCGUCGUUUGUGUACAGUGUAGUCUUUGGUAGACAGCAGAUAUGCAUGAGAUGUCUUCGUUGAUUACAGCUGUAAUUGGAAAGGUAUGCAUUAUGAAACUGAACACUAAUGCUGGUCCUAGGACCAACCGCAAUAUAUUGAGAAGAGGCGGUACCAUCCCAACCCGUGGAGGACGAUUUUGAAUCGGCGCUACACGGGUCUGGGAGGCCGAGGCUACCGUUUGAGAUGUAAGUCAACUCUGUCGAUAGGCUUAUUAUAUGACUUUCUUUCGCCAAAUUGUUGGUUUUGUCUUGUCAACCUCUACCCUCGCAGACAAUGGAGAAGACGGAUGACUCACGGGACAUAAUCUCGGUCACCUGAUCUCGAGUGAUUUUCUCUCUUCAGACGCAGAUCUGAGGCGUUCUUUUUGGCUCAUGUUAUAGUCAUCACCACUGGCUACUAGACCUACGGGGUGAUGUUAGUGCUCAUCGUACUGUUGCUACGGCAGAACGCGAAAUGUGAGAGACAAAUACUCGGACAUUCGGGAUCAUAUCUUGGUCAGUCGCUUUCAUCGCGUUUCUACAAGACGAAUUGAGACGUUAGUCAUGUCUGUCGAAAGGGCGGUGAGAAACGUGAUCGACCUACGGGACAUAAUCUCGGUCACAGUAUGAGCGCACUUCUUGGGUUCUACAGCUUUCGGAGUGAUCAUCAUGGAGAUAAACAUUGAAUCCAUUCUGGUACAAGUUGAAUGUCACAAGAGUAUGCUAGGACUCUGCAUACUUGUAAACUGUGUACGUACUAUGAUCUUGUUGAUUGUAAGAUUUUAGCUACAUCAGUUAUUAUCAACAACACGCACUGCUUAGUUUUAUAGACU